UACGUAAGGGGCAAGCGUUGUCCGGAAUCACUGGGCGUAAAGCGCACGUAGGCGGUUUAGCAAGUCAGGGGUGUAAGCUCUAGGCUUAACCUAGAAAUUGCCUCUGAAACUACUUCACUUGAGUAUUAGAGGGGAAGCUGGAAUUCACGGUGUAGCGGUGAAAUGCGUAGAUAUCGUGGAGAACACCAGUGGCGAAGGCGGGUCUCUGGACAGUUCCUGACACUGAGGCACGAAGGCCAGGGGAGCAAACGGG
rnacentral:rRNA from 1 species